rnacentral:rRNA from 1 species
AUAUUGGACAAUGGGCGAAAGCCUGAUCCAGCAAUACCGCGUGUGUGAAGAAGGCCUUAGGGUUGUAAAGCACUUUCAAUUGGGAGGAAAACCUACCGGUCAAUACCCGGUAGCUUGACAUUACCUUUAGAAGAAGCACCGGCUAACUCCGUGCCAGCAGCCGCGGUAAUACGGAGGGUGCGAGCGUUAAUCGGAAUUACUGGGCGUAAAGCGUGCGUAGGCGGUUCGUUAAGUCAGAUGUGAAAGCCCUGGGCUCAACCUGGGAACGGCAUUUGAAACUGGCGGACUAGAGUUUAGUAGAGGGGAGUGGAAUUUCAGGUGUAGCGGUGAAAUGCGUAGAUAUCUGAAGGAACACCAGUGGCGAAGGCGACUCCCUGGACUAGAACUGACGCUGAGGUACGAAAGCGUGGGUAGCAAAC